UACGGGGGGAGCAAGCGUUGUUCGGAUUUACUGGGCGUAAAGGGCGCGUAGGCGGUCGUGACAAGUCACUUGUGAAAUCUCCGGGCUUAACUCGGAACGGUCAAGUGAUACUGUCGGACUAGAGUACAGAAGGGGGCAACUGGAAUUCUCGGUGUAGCGGUGAAAUGCGCAGAUAUCAGGAGGAACACCGGUGGCGAAGGCGGGUCUCUGGGCAACAACUGACGCUGAGGAGCGAAAGCGUGGGGAGCGAACAGG
rnacentral:rRNA from 1 species